GGGCGCGUGGUGGAGUGGUUACCACGUCCGCUUUGCAAUCCACUUUCAAGUGCACUAGCGGUAGGUCGCGGGUUCAAAUCCCGUCGUGUCCA
rnacentral:tRNA from 1 species